GUCGGGGAAGAGCUGGGGGAGGAUGAGCGUCAGGAACCGAGAAAGUCGCAAAGCCUGAGCCUGGGCUCCCUGCGUUGGGGGGAGUGGGUGGGGUUAAAGGAUAGUUGCCCUAUGGUCACGUCUACUCCGACUGGUUGUGUUGCAUUUAAGUGUUUCUUCUUUAAUUAGAAGAACGCUGUGAGGAUUUCUCUUCGGGCUCUGGAGGUUCCAGUGGCCUGCAAGGCUCUUGUCCUAGGGACAAACGCGUAGAACUCGGGACCACCUCCCUCUGGAACUUGGGCCCAGGGCGGCAAGGAGGGGGCACCACUAGUGCUGCCCAAAUACCCCCCCCUCAUUUCUUUGCUCAAAACCCCUUUAGCCAACUCAGACAAAUGCCUCAUCAAUUGUCCGUUAAGAUUCGAUCACUUUCAUGGAUAUGCCAGGCUAAGGUUGAGGGGUGGGAGGGGAGACAAGGCUUGUUUUUGCCAAGGUAGGCAGUGGCGUCUCUUCCUGGCGAUGGACAUCUGCCUGCGGGCGGAGAGUGCUCCUCCUGGGCCCUGCUGGCUUCCUCCUCUUCCCACAAUUGGGAAAUUGUGAGGAGGUUACUCAAUUUUUGGGGAAAAGGGGCUUAUUCACUGAGGAAAGGGUAUGGAUGAAGUCGGCCUACCCAAGAGGGCCCCUGGGGGGCAGUAGGCCCGGCACAGCUCAGUUUCCCGUCUGGUUGGGUAUUUUAAUGUCUGGAGGUGCAACCGACAGAAAUAGACAUUCACAGAGCAAGCGGAUGGGGAAAUGAAUACCAAGAGCCGGCGGCAUUUGGGAACAUCGCGGCGUCCUUACUUCCCGCUCGGGUACCUGCUUCGUGAUUCCUGCCAAGAGGAGACACCAUGGAAGGGCAGAGUCACGCUAACUCGGCUUUUACUGGGGCUGUUUUAGGGUUGGUCUUGAAUGAAGCUAAGCGAGAGGACUAGAGAAGAACAAGCACUAAUCAAGUAACUACUGAUGACGAAGUGAUUAGGAUCUGUUGGAACCUCACCAGUCACUUCAGAGUGCCGGAGAUGCAUUUUCAGAGCCAUUUCUACUUUUGGGGAAGAAGUGUUCUCUGAUGUAAUCUCAUCCUUGAAAAAAAUCUGUGCCUGAAAAAAAAAAAGGCAUUUGCAAUACCCAGAAGUCCCAGUAGAUGGCACUGAGGAGACUUGUGGGGAAGCUUGG